rnacentral:rRNA from 1 species
UACGUAGGGGGCGAGCGUUGUCCGGAAUCAUUGGGCGUAAAGCGCGUGUAGGCGGCCCGGUAAGUCCGCUGUGAAAGUCCAGGGCUCAACCCUGGGAUGCCGGUGGAUACUGUCGGGCUCGAGUCCGGAAGAGGCGAGUGGAAUUCCUGGUGUAGCGGUGAAAUGCGCAGAUAUCAGGAGGAACACCGGUGGCGAAGGCGGAUCUCUGGGCCGAUACUGACGCUGAGGAGCGAAAGCGUGGGGAGCGAACAGG